rnacentral:rRNA from 1 species
UACGGAGGGUGCGAGCGUUGUCCGGAAUCACUGGGCGUAAAGGGCGCGUAGGCGGCGCGGAUAGUCGGCGGUGAAAAGCCCCGGAGCUCAACUCCGGGGUCGGCCGUCGAUACUUCCGGGCUUGAGCACUGUAGAGGCAGAUGGAAUUCCGGGUGUAGCGGUGGAAUGCGUAGAGAUCCGGAAGAACACCGGUGGCGAAGGCGGUCUGCUGGGGCAGUUG